GGAGGCUUUUGCAAUGCUGCUUGGUAUGAAGGUUUUGAAGCUAUCGUAGUUGGUGACCGACCAAGCCUUAUUUGAUGCAGGCAUCAGCCAAAUUUCUUCUCAAGGUAAGUUUGAUGUCUUUCUUCUCUUUUUUUCCAUUUUUUUAAAUAGAACUUUUCUGUUGCAGCAAUGAAGUUCGAUCCGAAGAGAAUGAUGGAGAUUAAGAAGCGAAAGCAAGGAUCGAGCAAUGAACCUGCCGCCAAGAAGAGUUAGGGGGCAAGUUCUUCGGAGCCA
rnacentral:lncRNA from 1 species